GAUAACUGGCUUGUGGCAGCCAAGCGUUCUUAGCGACGUUUCUUUUUGAUUCUUCGAUCUCGGCUCUUCCUAUCAUUGCGAAGCAGAAUUCGUCAAGAGUUGGAUUGUUCACCCACCAACAGGGAACGUGAGCUGGGUUGAGACUGUUGUUGGAAAUGUA
rnacentral:ncRNA from 1 species